rnacentral:rRNA from 1 species
UACGUAGGGACCAAGCGUUGUUCGGAUUUACUGGGCGUAAAGGGCGCGUAGGCGGCAAUUCAAGUCAUCUGUGAAAUCUCCGGGCUUAACUCGGAACGGCCAAGUGAUACUGCUGUGCUAGAGUGCAGAAGGGGCAAUCGGAAUUCUUGGUGUAGCGGUGAAAUGCGUAGAUAUCAAGAGGAACACCUGAGGUGAAGACGGGUUGCUGGGCUGACACUGACG